GGGGAGGGAGGAGAGAGUAGCUGGGGGCUGGUGUGGCUGCCAGCGGCCGCAGGGAGACCUGUCAGUCUCCCUGCACAGUCUGAAAUUAUUCCGGCCGCAUGCCCCGCCCCCAAACGGAAGCUCCGCCUCCCACCCGACAAGCUCCGCCCCCACGCACGUUACUGGGAAGCUGCCCACCGGACCAAGAGGACACUGAAAGGUAUUUACUUUUUUACAGCC